rnacentral:rRNA from 1 species
AGUGAACGCUGGCGGUAGGCCUAACACAUGCAAGUCGAACGGCAGCACAGUAAGAGCUUGCUCUUACGGGUGGCGAGUGGCGGACGGGUGAGGAAUACAUCGGAAUCUACUUUUUCGUGGGGGAUAACGUAGGGAAACUUACGCUAAUACCGCAUACGACCUACGGGUGAAAGCAGGGAUCUUCGGACCUUGCGCGAUUGAAUGAGCCGAUGUCGGAUUAGCUAGUUGGCGGGGUAAAGGCCCACCAAGGCGACGAUCCGUAGCUGGUCUGAGAGGAUGAUCAACCACACUGGAACUGAGACACGGUCCAGACUCCUACGGGAGGCAGCAGUGGGGAAUAUUGGACAAUGGGCGCAAGCCUGAUCCAGCCAUACCGCGUGGGUGAAGAAGGCCUUCGGGUUGUAAAGCCCUUUUGUUGGGAAAGAAAAGCAGCAGGUUAAUACCCCGCUGUUCUGACGGUACCCAAAGAAUAAGCACCGGCUAACUUCGUG